GAAACCAUUCUCCCCAACAGUGAGGAACUGUUUAUCACUCUGAAGCCAAAACCCUCCCAACUUGGGCUCCCGGACGUUGAAGGCGGAGAAGUCACCUCUGCUGCAAAUGUUUCAAUGCUCUCCCUAUCAUCUUCAUCCCAGAGGUUAGCGCAGAUAAGGCGGC